rnacentral:rRNA from 1 species
CCUUACCUACCCUUGACAUGUCUGGAAUCCCGAAGAGAUUGGGAGUGCUACGAAAGAGAACCGGAACACGAGGUGCUGCAUGGCUGUCGUCAGCUCGUGUCGUGAGAUGUUGGGUUAAGUCCCGCAACGAGCGCAACCCUUGUCAUUAGUUGCUACGAAAGGGCACUCUAAUGAGACUGCCGGUGACAAACCGGAGGAAGGUGGGGAUGACGUCAAGUCCUCAUGGCCCUUAUGGGUAGGGCUUCACACGUCAUACAAUGGUCGGGACAGAGGGUCGCCAACCCGCGAGGGGGAGCUAAUCCCAGAAACCCGAUCGUAGUCCGGAUCGCAGUCUGCAACUCGACUGCGUGAAGUCGGAAUCGCUAGUAAUCGCGGAUCAGCAUGUCGCGGUGAAUACGUUCCCGGGUCUUGUACACACCGCCCGUCACACCAUGGGAGUGGGUUUCACCAGAAGUAGGUAGCCUAACCGUAAGGAGGGCGCUUACCACGGUGAGAUUCAUGACUGGGGUGAAGUCGUAACAAGGUAAGCGUAGUGCU